AUGGCUUCAACAAUCAUGUCAUUCACUCCAUCAACCACUAGACUGUUUGCAACAACUUCAGCAAAGGGAACAGGUGGUGGUAGUAGUAGCAAAGAAGAGAAAGGUUUUCUGGAUUGGAUUCUUGGAGGAAUGCAGAAGGAAGACCAGUUGCUAGAGACUGAUCCUAUUCUCAAGAAGGUGGAGGAGAAGAGUGGAGGAACCACUAGCAAUGGGCGCAAGAACACUGUGGCUGUGCCACAAAAGAAAAAGGGUGGUGGCUUUGGAGGCUUGUUUGCCAAGAACUGA